GGCUAGCCUGAUGGUAGUGGGUUAUCAGAAUUUAUUAACACUGGUGUCACUAAAGUUGGUAUAUAAUUCCCCCACUGCUAAAUUGGACUGGAUUUUA
rnacentral:Y_RNA from 1 species